CGUGCCAUUGACUCUGGCUUGCCCAUCAAAGUAGUGCAUGUGAAGUUCCCAUCUCAAGAAGCUGGCAUGCCAGAGGGAAAAGAGAAUAUCGACAUGCUCGACUCCAUGGAGCUGAUGAUACCUUUCUUUAAAGCGGUUAACAUGCUCGAAGAACCGGUCCAGAAGCUCAUGGAAGAGAUGAGCCCUAGGCCAAGCUGCUUAAUCUCUGACAUGUGUUUGUUUUAUACAAGCAAACUCGCCAAGAAGUUCAAUAUACCAAAGAUCCUCUUCCACGGCAUGUGUUGCUUUUGUCUUCUGUGUAUGCAUGUUUUACGCGAAAAUCUUGAGAUCUUGGAGAAUUUGGAGUCAGACAAAGAGUACUUCACUGUUCCUUAUUUUCCUGAUAGAGUUGAAUUCACAAGACCUCAGGUUCCUGUGGAAACAUAUGUUCCUGGAGACUGGAAGGAGUUCUUGGAUGAGAUUAAAGAAGCGGACAAGACAUCCUAUGGAGUGGUGGUCAACACAUUUCAAGAGCUGGAGCCUGCUUAUGUCAAGGGCUACAAGGAGGCAAGGUCAGGUAAAGCAUGGUCCAUUGGACCUGUUUCCUUGUGCAACAAGAUAGGAGAAGAUAAAGCUGAGAGGGGAAACAAGGCGGUCAUUGGUCAAGAUGAAUGUUUUAAAUGGCUUGAUGCUAGAGAAGAAGGGUCGGUGCUAUAUGUUUGCCUUGGAAGUAUCUGUAAUCUUCCUCUGUCUCAGCUCAAGGAGCUUGGGUUAGGCUUAGAAGAAUCCCAAAGACCUUUCAUUUGGGUCAUAAGAGGUUGGGAAAAGUAUAAUGAGCUUGCUGAGUGGAUCCUAGAGAGCGGCUUUGAAGAAAGGGUGAAAGAGAGAGGGCUUCUCAUAAAAGGAUGGGCACCUCAAGUGCUUAUCCUUUCACAUUCUUCUGUUGGGGGAUUCUUGACACAUUGUGGAUGGAACUCAACUCUUGAGGGGAUAACCUCUGGUCUCCCACUCCUCACAUGGCCUCUAUUUGCAGACCAAUUCUGCAAUGAGAAACUAGUUGUGCAGGUACUAAAGGCCGGUGUGAAAGCCGGGGUUGAGCAGCCUAUGAAAUGGGGAGAGGAAGAGAAGAUAGGAGUGUUGGUGGAUAAAGAAGGUGUUAAGAAGGCAGUUGAAGAGUUAAUGGGUGAGAGUGAUGAUGCAAAGGAGAGAAGAAGAAGAGCCAAAGAGCUUGGAGAGUUAGCUCACAAGGCUGUGGAAGAAGGAGGCUCUUCUCAUUCUAAUAUCACUUCCCUCUUAGAAGACAUAAUGCAACUAGCACAAUCCAAUAAUUGAUUAUGUCAUUGUUAAAAGAAAUACAAAUAUUUAUACAUUCUUUAUUUGGAGGAUAGGAGACUUAGUCCAACACGUCCAUAAAGUUAGGUUAAACUUCUUUUAAACAUAUCUAAAAACUUUAAUGAACAACUAGAAUUUUUGGUGGAUUCUCAACCAAGUAAAUCAAAUAUAAAUCUGUCAUAUAAGUUUGAUAUCGUCAGCUUCCUUUGGUUUUUGUUCACUCAUUUUCUAUAUUGCUCCUUUUUGCAUUCACCUUUCUAAUCUUUGUUUGAUCUAAUUCUUAAAAGUCUUAUCAUCUCAUUAUCUAUAGAAUCUUUUUCCAUUACCGAACUCAGGAAAGAAACAUUCACACGAAAGUGUUGUAGGCUCUGGACCUAUGUUCUUUUUUUUUAUUGAUUGUGAUUUUUGAGGCUUCUUGAUACAUAUAGCUGUCUUGAAAAGAGUCCAAAGUUGGAUUUAUCUUCUCGUACUGUUUAUAUUGGAUUGGAGUUUAAUCGAUCUUUAAAGUUUCAAACACUUCUCCUUGGGGUUAAAUUAUUAAUUUAGGUGCCUUUAUUGUAACAAUUUAAGGAUUUACAGAACAUGUAGCUAUCAACAGGCCUCCAAGUUGUUGUUUUUGUGUCUGAAUUAUCUUCUUUGUGUAAGGGAAAGUCAUUACAGGAUGCAAGAUAGGGUCGCAAAGGGACAAACUAUGGAUACACAAUCUGUGGACUGUAUUGGAUGUGUUUGUCAAGUAAAAUCUAUUUUACGUCAUGUAUUACGUCUUCUGUUCAGUUUUUUUUUUGCUCUCCACGCAUCUUUGUUCUAUAUAAGCUCUCUCGCUCUCACAAAUAUAAUCCAGAACCAAGACAAAACUUGAGAGUUUAUCAUCAGCAUGGGUUCUGAAACAGCUAAAAAAUCUUAUCCUCUUCACUUUGUUCUCUUCCCUUUCAUGGCUCAAGGCCACAUGAUUCCCAUGGUGGAUAUCGCAAGGCUCUUGGCUCAGCGAGGUGUGACCAUAACCAUUGUCACAACGCCUUACAAUGCAGGGAGGUUCAAGAAUGUUCUAAGCCGUGCCAUUGAGUCAGCUGGCUUGCCCAUCAAGGUAGUGCAUGUGAAGUUUCCAUCUCAAGAAGCUGGUAUGCCAGAGGGAAAAGAAAAUAUAGAUUUGCUCGACUCCAUAGAGAUGAUGAUACCUUUCUUUAAAGCAGUUAACAUGCUCGAAGAACCGGUUCAGAAGCUCAUGGAAGAGAUGAGCCCUCCACCAAGCUGCUUAAUCUCU
rnacentral:lncRNA from 1 species